UCAAAAACAUCGCUAAAAGUAGUUGAUUUUUAGUAGUACCUGCCCAGUGCGUAUUAUCUUGUUAACGGCCGCCUUAGCGUGAGGGUGCUAAGGUAGCGAAAUUCCUUGCCUUUUAAUUGUAGGCCAGCAUGAAUGGUUUGACGAGGGCCUCACUGUCUCUUAGUUCUAUGUUGAAAUUGUAGUGUAGGUGAAGAUACCUUCAUAAAAAAGUAAGACAAAAAGACCCCGUGCAACUUUGAAAAUUAAGCUAGAUUAAAUGGCAAAAGAUUUUUAGGUGGGGCGCCAAAAGAGGAAACUAUAACCUCUGCUGUUUAAGCUAAUUCUUACUGGAGUUGACCUGACUUAAGUCGAUCAAAGGAGAAGUUACGCCGGGGAUAACAGGCCAAUUCUUUAGUAAAGCUCGUAUUAACUAAAGGGCUUGGCACCUCGAUGUUGAAUCAGGGAUUAUAGCUUCAAGGCGUAGAUGCUUUGAUUAGUGGGUCUGUUCGACCUUUGAAACCCUACGUGAUCUGAGU
rnacentral:rRNA from 1 species